AGACAACCAGGAGGUUGGCUUAGAAGCAGCCACCCUUGAAAGAGUGCGUAAUAGCUCACUGGUCAAGUGAUUCUGCGCCGACAAUGUAGCGGGGCUCAAGCACACCGCCGAAGCUGUGUCACUCCAACGUUUGUUGGGGUGGGUAGGGGAGCGUCGUACAGCCGGUGAAGCCGCGGGGGAACCCAGUGGUGGAGGCUGUACGAGUGAGAAUGCAGGCAUGAGUAGCGAAAGACGGGUGAGAAACCCGUCCGCCGAUUGAUCAAGGGUUCCAGGGCCAGGUUUAUCCGCCCUGGGUUAGUCGGGACCUAAGGCGAGGCCGACAGGCGUAGUCGAUGGACAUCGGGUUGAUAUUCCCGAACCGAUCGUAGGAGGACCCAUACCGAGGCGGCUGAUGCUAACCACCCGAGCUGUCACCGUGCCCUUCGGGGUGUGGAUGGUGGUGAGGCUGGGAACCAAGGUCGUAGUAGGUCAGCGCGUGGGAUGACGCAGAGAGGUAGCUUCCGCGGACUUAAUGGAAUAGUCCGUCUAAGCGUGCAGCCCGGCCCCGGGUAAUGCUGGGGCCAUGAGGGUGAGACGUGAUGGGGAUCCCGUAUGGGCGUAGGUGAGUGAUCCUGUACUGCCUAGAAAAGUUCCGGCGUGACGAAUACGGUCGCCCGUACCCUAAACCGACUCAGGUGAUCAGGUAGAGAAUACCGAGGCGUUCGAGAGAAUCGUGGUUAAGGAACUCGGCAAAAUGCCCCCGUAACUUCGGGAGAAGGGGGGCCCGAUCCGUGAGAGCGGAGAGGGCCGCAGAGACCAGGGAGAAGCGACUGUUUACUAAAAACACAGGUCCGUGCGAAGUCGUAAGACGCUGUAUACGGACUGACGCCUGCCCGGUGCUGGAAGGUUAAGAGGACCGGUUAGAGCUCUUCGGAGUUCGAAGCUGAGAAUUUAAGCCCCAGUAAACGGCGGUGGUAACUAUAACCAUCCUAAGGUAGCGAAAUUCCUUGUCGGGUAAGUUCCGACCUGCACGAAUGGCGUAACGACUUCUCCACUGUCUCAACCGCGAACUCGGCGAAAUUGCAUUACGAGUAAAGAUGCUCGUUACGCGCAGCAGGACGGAAAGACCCCGGGACCUUUACUAUAGUUUGAUAUUGGUGUUCGGGACGGCUUGUGUAGGAUAGGUGGGAGACUGGGAAGCAUUCACGCCAGUGAGUGUGGAGUCAUUGUUGAAAUACCACUCUGGUCGUUCUGGAUUCCUAACCUCGGUCCGUGAUCCGGAUCAGGGACAGUGUCUGAUGGGUAGUUUAACUGGGGCGGUUGCCUCCUAAAGAGUAACGGAGGCGCUCAAAGGUUCCCUCAGCCUGGUUGGCAAUCAGGUGUUGAGUGUAAGUGCACAAGGGAGCUUGACUGCGAGACAGACAUGUCGGGCAGGUGCGAAAGCAGGAACUAGUGAUCCGGCACCUCAUUGUGGAAUGGGUGUCGCUCAACGGAUAAAAGGUACCCCGGGGAUAACAGGCUGAUCUUGCCCAAGAGCUCAUAUCGACGGCAUGGUUUGGCACCUCGAUGUCGGCUCGUCGCAUCCUGGGGCUGGAGUUGGUCCCAAGGGUUAGGCUGUUCGCCUAUUAAAGCGGUACGCGAGCUGGGUUUAGAACGUCGUGAGACAGUUCGGUCCCUAUCCGCUGCGCGCGUUGGAUAUUUGAGAAGUCCUGUCCCUAGUACGAGAGGACCGGGAUGGACUGACCUCUGGUGUGCCAGUUGUUCUGCCAAGGGCAUGGCUGGUUGGCUACGUCGGGAAGGGAUAACCGCUGAAAGCAUCUAAG
rnacentral:rRNA from 1 species